GGAAGUAUGGAUCAAUGGUAGAGUGCCUACCUAGCAAGUAGAAAGCCUUGAGUUCAAAUCCCAGUACCACCC
rnacentral:tRNA from 1 species